CAACCGGUGUUUUUAAACACCACCAUCUACUGUUUGGGAUUCUC
rfam:Gonium pectorale scaffold00014, whole genome shotgun sequence.